CAGUAGCCGCGGUAAUACGUAGGGUGCGAGCGUUAAUCGGAAUUACUGGGCGUAAAGCGUGCGCAGGCGGUUGUGUAAGACAGGUGUGAAAUCCCCGGGCUUAACCUGGGAACUGCAUUUGUGACAGGCGGGCUAGAGUAUGGCAGAGGGGGGUGGAAUUCCACGUGUAGCAGUGAAAUGCGUAGAGAUGUGGAGGAACACCGAUGGCGAAGGCAGCCCCCUGGGCCAAUACUGACGCUCAUGCACGAAAGCGUGGGGAGCAAACUGGAUUAGAUACCCCGGUAGUCCCUGUCUCUUAUAC
rnacentral:rRNA from 1 species